GAUGAACGCUAGCGGCAGGCCUAAUACAUGCAAGUCGAACGGUGUCUUCGGACAUAGUGGCGCACGGGUGCGUAACACGUAUGCAACCUACCUUACAUUGGGGGAUAGCCUUUCGAAAGGGAGAUUAAUACCGCAUAAGACAGUAGCUGGGCAUCCAGCAGCUGUUAAAGAUUUAUCGAUGUAAGCUGGGCAUGCGUCCAAUUAGCUAGUUGGUGAGGUAACGGCUCACCAAGGCAAUGAUUGGUAGGGGAACUGAGAGGUCAAUCCCCCACACUGGCACUGAGAUACGGGCCCGACUCCUACGGGAGGCAGCAGUAGUGAAUAUUGGGCAAUGGACGCAAGUCUGACCCAGCCAUGCCGCGUGCAGGAUGAAGGCGUUAUGCGUUGUAAACUGCUUUUAUACAGGAAGAAACGACUCUUGCGAGAGGCAUUGACGGUACUGUAUGAAUAAGCACCGGCUAACUCCGUGCCAGCCGCCGCCGUAAAAC
rnacentral:rRNA from 1 species